UUCCUGUGACAACCUGACCAC
rnacentral:misc_RNA from 1 species